rnacentral:rRNA from 1 species
GCGCGAAAACUUUCCAAUGCACGCAAGUGUGAGAAGGGAAUCCCGAGUGCUUAUGCAAUGCAUAGGCUUUUGCCAAGGGUAAAUACCUUGGAGAAUAAGUGGUGGGCAAUACCUGUGCCAGCCGCCGCGGUAACCCAGGAACCACAAGUGGCAACCGCUUUUAUUGGGCCUAAAGCGUCCGUAGCCGGAUCUGUAAAUCUUCUGUGAAAUCCUCGGGCUUAACCCGAGGGCGCGCAGGAGACACUGCAUUUCUAGGGACCGGGAGGCGUGAGGGGUAUUUCGGGGGGAGCGGUAAAAUGUUAUAAUCCUCGAAGGACCACCUGUGGCGAAGGCGCCUCACGAGAACGGAUCCGACGGUGAGUGACGAAAGCUAGGGGAGCAAAACGG